rnacentral:rRNA from 1 species
UACGGGGGGAGCAAGCGUUGUUCGGAUUUACUGGGCGUAAAGGGCGCGUAGGCGGCACUGCAAGUCAGUUGUGAAAUCUCCGGGCUUAACCCGGAAAGGUCAACUGAUACUGCAGGGCUAGAGUGCAGAAGGGGCAACUGGAAUUCUCGGUGUAGCGGUGAAAUGCGUAGAUAUCGAGAGGAACACCUGCGGCGAAGGCGGCAUCCUGGACCGGCAUUGACGCUGAGGAGCGAAAGCUAGGGGAGCAAACGGG